rnacentral:rRNA from 1 species
GGCCUAACACAUGCAAGUCGAACGCACUCUUCGGAGUGAGUGGCGCACGGGUGAGUAACGCGUGGGAACGUACCCUUCGGUGCGGAAUAACCACUGGAAACGGUGGCUAAUACCGCAUACGCCCCUCGGGGGAAAGAUUUAUCGCCGAAGGAUCGGCCCGCGUUGGAUUAGGUAGUUGGUGUGGUAAUGGCGCACCAAGCCGACGAUCCAUAGCUGGUCUGAGAGGAUGAUCAGCCACACUGGGACUGAGACACGGCCCAGACUCCUACGGGAGGCAGCAGUGGGGAAUAUUGGACAAUGGGGGCAACCCUGAUCCAGCCAUGCCGCGUGGGUGAAGAAGGCCUUCGGGUUGUAAAGCCCUUUCAGGUGGGAAGAUGAUGACGGUACCACCAGAAGAAGCCCCGGCUAACUUCGUGCCAGCAGCCGCGGUAAUACGAAGGGGGCUAGCGUUGUUCGGAAUUACUGGGCGUAAAGCGCGCGUAGGCGGAAACGUCAGUCAGAGGUGAAAGCCCAGGGCUCAACCUUGGAACUGCCUUUGAUACUGCGUUUCUUGAGUCCGGAAGAGGGCGGUGGAAUACCCAGUGUAGAGGUGAAAUUCGUAGAUAUUGGGUGGACACCAGUGGCGAAGGCGGCCGCCUGGUCCGGUACUGACGCUGAGUGCGAAAGCGUGGGGAGCAAACAGAUUA